AGAGUUUGAUCCUGGCUCAGAUUGAACGCUGGCGGCAUGCCUUACACAUGCAAGUCGAACGGUAACGGGCCUUCGGGUGCCGACGAGUGGCGAACGGGUGAGUAAUGUAUCGGAACGUACCAUUGAGUGGGGGAUAACGUAGCGAAAGUUACGCUAAUACCGCAUAUUCUCUCCGGAGGAAAGCAGGGGAUCGCAAGACCUUGCGCUCAUUGAGCGGCCGAUAUCAGAUUAGCUAGUUGGUGAGGUAAAAGCUCACCAAGGCGACGAUCUGUAGCGGGUCUGAGAGGAUGAUCCGCCACACUGGAACUGAGACACGGUCCAGACUCCUACGGGAGGCAGCAGUGGGGAAUUUUGGACAAUGGGGGCAACCCUGAUCCAGCCAUGCCGCGUGAGUGAAGAAGGCCUUCGGGUUGUAAAGCUCUGUCAGGGGGGAAGAACCUCCAAUCGGGUAAUAUCCGGUUGGCCUGACGGUACCCUCAAAGGAAGCACCGGCUAACUCCGUGCCAGCAGCCGCGGUAAUACGGGGGGUGCAAGCGUUGUUCGGAAUUAUUGGGCGUAAAGCGCGUGUAGGCGGUUUGAUUAGUCUGAUGUGAAAGCCCUGGGCUCAACCCAGGAAGUGCAUUGGAAACUGUCAGACUUGAAUACGGGAGAGGGUAGUGGAAUUCCUAGUGUAGGAGUGAAAUCCGUAGAUAUUAGGAGGAACACCGGUGGCGAAGGCGGCUACCUGGACCGAUAUUGACGCUGAGACGCGAAAGCGUGGGUAGCAAACAGGAUUAGAUACCCUGGUAGUCC
rnacentral:rRNA from 1 species